rnacentral:rRNA from 1 species
CUAUAUUAUGUGUCAGCAGCCGCGGUAAUAUAUAUGAGGGCACAAGUGGUCUCCAGAUAUUGGGGUAUAAAGCGCGCACGCGGUCUUUUAUAUGUGAUGUGAAAACGCACGGGUCUCCAGUGGAGGAGUCUCAGUAGAAUGUGGGACAUGUGUGCUGAAGAGGAGAGUGGAGUUUCACGAGUAGAGGUGAAAUAUGUAGAGAUAUGGAGGGAACACCACUGGCGAGGAAGAGUUUCUGGUGUGUGUAUGUCGCUGAGACGCGAAAAAGUGGGGGGCACACACGAUUAGAUAUCCCGGUAGUGCACCCCGUAAAAGAUGAGUGUUAAGUGUUAUAGGGGGUCUGCCCCCUAGUGUUGCAGAUAAAACACUAAGCACUCUCCCCGGGGAGUACGGGGGCAAGAGUGAAAAUCAAAAGAAAAUACGGGGGGGCCCACAAAAGGGGGAGCACAUGGUUUUUUUUUAAGAAACACGAGGAACCCCUUCACGUCUUGACAUCUCCCUUUGACCAUAGGAGAGAUAGGUUUUCCCUUUGGGGCACAGGUGACACGUGGGGCAUGGUUGUUUUCAGAUCUUGUUUUGAGAUAUUUGGGUAAGUCCCCCAAAGAGAGCAAACCCUGAUUUUAGUUGCCCCCAUUCAGAUGGGCACUCUAAAGUGACUGCCGGGGACAAAACCGAGGAAAGUGGGGAUGAGGUCAAAUCUUCAUGCCCCCUAUGACCUGGGGUACACACGUGUUACAAAAUGGGGUACAAAAGGGGGCAAAAACUCGAGGGGGAGCCAAAAUCAGAAAAACGUUUUCAGUUUUGAUUGCAGGGUGCAACUCUCCUGCAUGAAGCCGGAAAUUCUAGUAAAUUCGGAUCAGCAUGCCGCGGGAAACGUUUUCCGGCCUUUACACACCCCCCGUCACACCCCGAGAGUUUUAACACCCGAAGUUUGGGUGUGUUCCUUCGGAGCCAGCCGCCGAAGUGACAAAU